rnacentral:lncRNA from 1 species
CAAAAUUAACUUUUGAAAGCUUGGAUUUAACAUGUGUUAAGUAAUGGAGUUAAUAACCUUUACAGAGUAGGCCACCGAGCCCUUCCAGGGAGGAAGUAGAAGACACCACAAAGGAAUGUUCUCAGGGACACACAGAUACUCUAUUUUUAAAGAAGGUGUUGAAAUGCCAGUUACCUUGACCUCAGGAAAAAUACUCAUGUAUAAAGUUACAUUGAAUUUGGACAGGAAAACUAGGGUCAUGACUACUUGAAUGUAACCCAUCACCUUCUAUGCCACAGGCAGGACUGAUGACAUAGCCUGUGCCCUCUGUGGGGAAGCCUCCCUCCUCCUGGGAAGGUCACUACCCCCUCCCCCCCCCAGAGGAGACCACCAUAGUAGUGCUCAAUAGGAAUAUGUUUUCAGGAACUCUGGUCUCUCCUGAAAGUACCUCUACCUGCAGCAGGACCCUGCUCCUGUGUCCCCACAGGGACAUCUCAUCCAGGCCAGGUGCCAGAACCUUCUCUGGAAGAAUGCAGCAGCCCCUUUCCUAUGGGAGAAGAUGAAUCGUGUCCUGAACAAGCCUCCAGAACAAGCCAGCAAUGUGCCUGCCAUUCCUUGACAUGGACAAAGUUGAGAGAAGGCCACAACCACCUUGGAUUAGAGAGGAGAGGAGGUCCCCUCUCAUCUGCCCAUCUUGAAAGGAAUGUGGUUAUGCCCCUCCCACACGCAGGAGAAGGGACUAGAAUCUUGGUACCUUUGAGCUAGAAGAGACCUCCGACUUUCACAGAAUGAGGAGACCAAAGCCCACGGCUCAGGUCAAAGGCCUCAACUUGGCCUCUUGACUCUUCAUCUAUACUCUUUCCACUGCAUUAGACUGUCUCCAGCUUUUCAUUGAUACUCAGUUCAUCUCUUCAUUCUAAACUCUUCUGGCUCACAGGGUACCCCAAAACUGUAAGAGGGAGCGAAGUGUCCAAGUGGUGCUCCAAAAUGGGAGGGGCCAGGAAAGAGGCAAGAUGGAUUUCUUCCUGACCAGGGUGGACAAUCAACAGCUUGUCUUGCAGAGCCACCAUCCCCGAGCCUGGCCUCAGCCCACACAGCACCUCACACCCAACACCCUGACCCGCAGAGAUGGGAGCCUGUUCUACUGUCCCAGAGGGAGGUGGGCUUCAUAGCUGGGUGAAAAAAUGACCUCAGUGGAAAGAAUUCUUCGGUGAUAUCUCAUGUCUUUGGGUUUCUACAAAGUUUUUAGUUCCUUAUUCCUUGUCUGACAUGUGACGAUGACCUUUCAUUUACCUGGCCAUGUGUUUUCUAGAGUCCUGAUGGCCCAACAGAUAGCACCUUUGACCUGCUGACCCCUCUGAUUUGCUGUAUGUCUCUGGCCCACUCCGGAAACUCAUACUGCCGGCUUCUGGGCCCUUCUCCAGGCUGGCUCCUCACCUGUGCCUCCAUCUAUCACAGCAACGCCUGCCCUGCCAAGUUCCUGACACCUAGUUGAUCUCUAUGCGGGUUUGAACCAGCCUGACCUCAGACACACAAGAACAAGCCUGCUGUUAUUUUGGCUACAAUCAUGUCACUUUACAGUACUGUGGAGACACUUUACGCAAAGCCUGACAUGUGCACUGCAGACUUUCCAAACAAGGUCGCUAGGGAGCGUUUGAGGUCUGUUGGGUUUUUUUGUUUUGUUUUGUUUUACCAAAAAGACUGGAAAAUAUUAAAAAGUUAGAUUUGGAAGCGACAUUAAAAAUGCUUCAGUUCAGCACUUCCCAAAGUGAGUUCUAAGGGAAAAUAAAGGGGGACAUAUAUUUGCAUCUAUUCCAGGUAUUAUUCAAAGAAACAGAUUUCCGUGGUCAAAUGAAUCUGGAAAACACUACAUAUGAUAGCCCGUUCAUGAGGAUUAAAAACAUAUGUUAGCAAAUUCAAGGUUUGGGCAAGUCCUCCUUCUGAGAAACCUCUUGAGCUUUGUUCAACUCAACAUUUCCCAAGUUAAUUAUAACAAAGAACGCUUCUCUUCUUCAAUGUGUAUUACUCCGGUACAGGUAGUGUUCUGCAGAAUCCAUGCCAGGAAAUGUGGCUCAAGUAAGUUCAAACCCCCCUUUUGCAGAGGAAAAGAUGGAGAAUGAGGUUCCAGAGGCUUGCUUAAGGUCACACGGUUAGUACGAGCUAGAGCUGUUUCCAGAAUAAGACUUCCAAAUUCCCAUUCCAGUGGUCUUUCCAC